AAAUAAAGAGUGUUCAUUUAACUAUACUUUCUCAUUAAACUCCCAUACAGUGUUUUUUUUUUUUAAUAGCUUUUAUAAUUUGGAAUGUUUUCCUUGUGGUUGUUGCCUGCUGCUGUCGCCACUGUCAUGAGACGUACUGACUUGUUUCAUUGCAGCGCAGAGCUGGUGGAGAGGUCUCACUCGGACGAAGAAGAGGAACAUUUAAUUUCCUUAGUCCAUCUCGUCUUUGAAGCACAGGGACGUUUUGUCAGUAUCAUAGAGUCGGAGGAUGAACCAAGACGAUGGAGAACACCGGGAGGAAUGACAGGACGCCAUGACAGUGCCAGGUGGACUGGGUGACAGGAGCGCGAUGGCGAGGUCAUAAAGUAACAAAAUGAAGACUGACUCGGAUCUCGCACCAUGUCGCUGGAGACGUUUGACCGCUGGCUGCAUGUCUGAGGUCGUGGUGAUGAACCAGUUGUGGACUGAUCAGAUUUCUCCCCGAUGGAGACGGCAUCUGAAAGGAGCAGAAGCAGCAUUCGGUUUGGCAGAUGGCACAUGAGAACGGCCCUCUGUACCUUAAAGAUUCACAUGAAUGAAUGUUAAAACCUGAGCACAUCAAGGUUUGAAAAACUUCACUGGAUGAGCCCCAUUUGAAAUGUGUUUUGAACACGAGAGCGAGGGCCUCCGACUCCGGCUACUGGUCUUGGGAAAGCUGAUAAAUGGGGCUCGUCAUCAGGAGGCUCAGUUGGACGUGUUCAUCAUGGAGAGGAGAA